UCUUUCGUAGUAUAGUGGUCAGUAUGUGAGCUUGUCAAUGCCCUCUGGAAAUGUUAUCGCUUGAGACCCGGGUUCAAUUCCCGGCGGGAGAG
rnacentral:tRNA from 1 species